UGGGGAAUAUUGGACAAUGGGCGAAAGCCUGAUCCAGCCAUGCCGCGUGUGUGAAGAAGGUCUUCGGAUUGUAAAGCACUUUAAGUUGGGAGGAAGGGCAGUAAGCGAAUACCUUGCUGUUUUGACGUUACCGACAGAAUAAGCACCGGCUAACUCUGUGCCAGCAGCCGCGGUAAUACAGAGGGUGCAAGCGUUAAUCGGAAUUACUGGGCGUAAAGCGCGCGUAGGUGGUUCGUUAAGUUGAAUGUGAAAGCCCCGGGCUCAACCUGGGAAAUGCAUCCUAAACUGGCGAGCUAGAGUAGGGCAGAGGGUGGUGGAAUUUCCUGUGUAGCGGUGAAAUGCGUAGAUAUAGGAAGGAACACCAGUGGCGAAGGCGACCACCUGGGCUCAUACUGACACUGAGGUGCGAAAGCGUGGGGAGCAAACAGG
rnacentral:rRNA from 1 species